GGUGACAUACCCAAGCGGUAAGGGAGCGGUCUGCAAAACCGUUAUUCCCCGGUUCGAAUCCGGGUGUCACCU
rnacentral:tRNA from 1 species